UAUUUUGUCUGCCACUGAUAGCAUUUUUGCAAUUUACAAUUCAAAAGCAACCGUCUUCAUUCAAGAGGCAGUUUUCGAAAUGUGAGAAUAUUCAAUUAUCAUGCGACGGACCGUUGUCACAGUAUAGUUUCCAUGCGAGCGAUUCCACACAAGAGCGUGGGUAGAGGAAAUAACCAUUUGAGGGAAGACAUGGCACAAGUGUCGUUGGCCGUCAACAUCGAUCAAAAGUGGCGGGAGAUGCUCGCCCUGCUGAGAGGACUCGAAUGCUGAUCUUCCAGAGGCCUUCCUGCACGUAGAUGUGAUAUGGGUUCGCCGGAGAGUGACGCGCUGUAUCAAAUAUCUAGACGCACCAAUGAAUCCCUACAAAUGAGCACAGGAAUGAUCCACUUUUCCACCGGCACCACUUUUCUCGACUGUCCUUCAAAAUAGAAAGACACACGCCUCUAGCGACAAUUCGGGGAGGUUGUCGGCAUGAAUUUCAACCUUGCUAACUGAGC